rnacentral:rRNA from 1 species
GACGAACGCUGGCGGCGUGCUUAACACAUGCAAGUCGAACGGAAAGGCCCUGCUUUUGUGGGGUGCUCGAGUGGCGAACGGGUGAGUAACACGUGAGUAACCUGCCCUUGACUUUGGGAUAACUUCAGGAAACUGGGGCUAAUACCGGAUAGGAGCUCCUGCUGCAUUGUGGGGGUUGGAAAGUUUCGGCGGUUGGGGAUGGACUCGCGGCUUAUCAGCUUGUUGGUGGGGUAGUGGCUUACCAAGGCUUUGACGGGUAGCCGGCCUGAGAGGGUGACCGGCCACAUUGGGACUGAGAUACGGCCCAGACGCCUACGGGAGGCAGCAGUGGGGAAUAUUGCACGAUGGGCGGAAGCCUGAUGCAGCAACGCCGCGUGCGGGAUGACGGCCUUCGGGUUGUAAACCGCUUUCGCCUGUGACGAAGCGUGAGUGACGGUAAUGGGUAAAGAAGCACCGGCUAACUACGUG